rnacentral:rRNA from 1 species
CCGCGGUAAUACGGAGGGUGCAAGCGUUAAUCGGAAUUACUGGGCGUAAAGCGCACGCAGGCGGUUUGUUAAGUCAGAUGUGAAAUCCCCGGGCUCAACCUGGGAACUGCAUCUGAUACUGGCAAGCUUGAGUCUCGUAGAGGGGGGUAGAAUUCCAGGUGUAGCGGUGAAAUGCGUAGAGAUCUGGAGGAAUACCGGUGGCGAAGGCGGCCCCCUGGACGAAGACUGACGCUCAGGUGCGAAAGCGUGGGGAGCAAACAGGAUUAGAUACCCUGGUAGUCCACGCCGUAAACGAUGUCGACUUGGAGGUUGUGCCCUUGAGGCGUGGCUUCCGGAGCUAACGCGUUAAGUCGACCGCCUGGGGAGUACGGCCGCAAGGUUAAAACUCAAAUGAAUUGACGGGGGCCCGCACAAGCGGUGGAGCAUGUGGUUUAAUUCGAUGCAACGCGAAGAACCUUACCUGGUCUUGACAUCCACGGAAGUUUUCAGAGAUGAGAAUGUGCCUUCGGGAACCGUGAGACAGGUGCUGCAUGGCUGUCGUCAGC